CUUGUCCGGAAUUACUGGGUGUAAAGGGAGCGCAGGCGGACCGGCAAGUUGGAAGUGAAAACUAUGGGCUCAACCCAUAAAUUGCUUUCAAAACUGCUGGCCUUGAGUAGUGCAGAGGUAGGUGGAAUUCCCGGUGUAGCGGUGGAAUGCGUAGAUAUCGGGAGGAACACCAGUGGCGAAGGCGACCUACUGGGCACCAACUGACGCUGAGGCUCGAAAGCAUGGGUAGCAAACAGGAUUAGAUACCCUGGUAGUCCAUGCCGUAAACGAUGAUUACUAGGUGUUGGAGGAUUGACCCCUUCAGUGCCGCAGUUAACACAAUAAGUAAUCCACCUGGGGAGUACGACCGCAAGGUUGAAACUCAAAGGAAUUGACGGGGGCCCGCACAAGCAGUGGAGUAUGUGGUUUAAUUCGAAGCAACGCGAAGAACCUUACCAGGUCUUGACAUCCGAUGCAUAGCGCAGAGAUGCGUGAAGUCCUUCGGGACAUCGAGACAGGUGGUGCAUGGUUGUCGUCAGCUCGUGUCGUGAGAUGUUGGGUUAAGUCCCGCAACGAGCGCAACCCUUAUUGCCAGUUACUACGAAAGAGGACUCUGGCGAGACUGCCGUUGACAAAACGGAGGAAGGUGGGGAUGACGUCAAAUCAUCAUGCCCUUUAUGACCUGGGCUACACACGUACUACAAUGGCGUUUAACAAAGAGAAGCAAGACCGCGAGGUGGAGCAAAACUCAAAAACAACGUCUCAGUUCAGAUUGCAGGCUGCAACUCGCCUGCAUGAAGUCGGAAUUGCUAGUAAUCGCGGAUCAGCAUGCCGCGGUGAAUACGUUCCCGGGCCUUGUACACACCGCCCGUCACACCAUGAGAGCCGGGGGGACCCGAAGUCGGUAGUCUAACCGUAAGGAGGACGCCGCCGAAG
rnacentral:rRNA from 2 species